CUAGUCUGUGACCUGAGCCAUCAUGGUAGGGUGUCCAGGGUGAGGGGAGGGUGGUGUGAAUCCCCAGUAAUGCAGGUCCUUUCCAGGCCAGGCCCCUGGUCCCCAGGAGUGCGGGGAUGCCUGAGGUCUACUGCUGCCUUAUCCAGAGCUGCCAUCCCCGGCGAUGACUCAGAGUUCCUGUGGCCCCAGCAUCAUCCCUCCAUCCCUGGCUGUGAGGCAGGAGCAGAGUUGCAGACCUGAGAGGCCUUGAAUUUGUUUGAUAUAGGACUUUGCCACCAGACAAAGUGCUUUGCCUGUGAGGUCUGGCUUGGCCUGGCCUCUGAGAAAGAACAAACACAGACCUCACUGGAAGGAACCUGGAGAACGGGAGAGGAGAGGCUGCUGCUGUCUGCCCUCCCAGCAGCAGAUAUAAAGACAAUGGGCUUCUAAGUCCCCUAGAGUCCCAGCUGUGUAAUUUAAGGCAAAUAUAAUUUCUGACCUACGUAAUGAUGUAUGCACAAGAAGCCUCUCUUGAAUGUAUUAAUUCAGUAAACAGUUAUGGAGUCCUUACAAUGUGCUAGUGGGACUUUGAAGAUGAAUCCAAAUUUGGAUCCUGGCCUGGAAAGGCUCAAAGCCCAAUAUGGGAGUGAUUCUGAGCAGAAACAAAGGGGAACGUAUGUCUUCAUUGUGACUCAGC
rnacentral:lncRNA from 10 species